UGUCCAGGACCAUUUCUGCUGUGUGGUUUCUCCGUGAUCUUCCAUGUCCUCUGCAAUCAAGAUGCCCUCAAUGCUGCCUUAUGUGCUUUGUUCAACCUUAUCUGCCCACCCUGCAGCCAUCGAGGAGGAUGUGGAAUUAGUCCCUGGAAACAGAUGAGCUCCUAACAGACCUGUCCUCCAUGGAAGUCCUUUUUGGAUGCUCACAGGAACAGCUUGUCUUCAGAUAUAGCAGCCUGGCACCUUGAACACCACCAGCCAAGUGCAUUUCUUCAUCGCAGCAUGCUGAUGGGCAGCAGAGCUGCAGAAAUCGGUGCCCCACACAGCCCUGCAAACCAGGUUUCCUGGCGGGACGUGAGCUGCCAGGACUCGUCCGGGCUCAAGUGACAAUGCAUCCGUCAGGUGAGACUUGAAAAAUGUGGAUUGGAAACAGUUCUUGUCAAAAAGUGAGUGAUGAGGAACUCGUGGUGUUUUCCCAGCUGCAGACUCAAUCGGCAGUGUUGCUGUAGCAUCUUUCUUAGGCACUAUUCCAGCAAAACACUUGAGUAUGUGCUUAAUUAAAUCACGGGAGAAGUUUAAAGGGCUUGAAAGCAUGCAGCUAAAUGCUUUGCUGGGGACUUAAUAUUAAUGCCUCAGUUUCCCUUCUCCCACACAGAGAAAGAAAUAUUUACUUCCCAUACAGAGUGCUGACAAGCUUAAUUCAAUCUUACUUGUAAAGUGCCUUGUAGGCCUUAGGGAAAAGGUGCUAUAAAAAUCAGAAUAGUAUUCUGCAUUCCCUGGCAGCUUUAUACACCAUCCUCCUGGUGAUACAUCUCCCUCUGGCUGACAGCAUGAGCAAUUAAUACACAUAAACCAAAAGAGGCUGUUUGGAAAGCCUGUGCUCCAUGCAAUCUACCAACACCUGGUGACAAAUCCACAGCUGAAAAGAUGGAAAAAUCAGUGGGUUUAGGAAGGUUUAGUGGGGAAACGUGCAUGCAUGUGACUUCAGAGCAGCAGCAGGAACAGAGCUCUUUCUCCAGUAAUGUAUUUUUCAUUCCUCAUCCUCUUUUAUAGCCUUUGCUAUUAAUUUUUCAGUUGUCCUGGCCUUUUAUAAGUUAGCAAACUGUACUCUUACACUGUUCUCUUAUUUCAAAUUUUCUUGACUGGAUUGAAAGGAAUCUGGAACCGACCUCAGAGGCAGCCGUAGUUAAAUGAAGUCAGGGGAACUGCUGCCAAGGAGAGGCCUGUGAGCAAAGCCAGCAUGGGAGAGGUUAGGGAAAGGUUUAUUUUUGGAAAAUCCAGAUUAUAAUUUAGAACAACCCUCUAAUUGUGAUUCUGCAUUCAUACACGUUGAAAAUACAGCUCAGUGCCGAGCAUCCCAAGCAACACACAUCCGCCACAAAGUUGCCUGGCACCAGCACAGCUGCUGGAUAUUAUGGCAGUCUUUAAUGCUGGCUUUUCAUGCAUCGACACACAAGUGUACUGUAAGGCCUGCUCCUGUGCCAAAAGUGAGUGAAAAGGUAUUGCCUCAAACUGUCUCCCCAGAUAAAAACCAAAUGACUGAAAAAUUGAAGCUUUUCACUGGUAGUCAUUGUGACUCCUCAUUUCCUGCCUAUAUUUCUGAACACUGUGUUCUGGCUGAACCUUUUUUUCCUCCUAUUUUUGUUUUCUUUUAAUGACAAGUGAUACUUAAACUAGCACAGAGUAAAGACUAAGGCUCACAGCUGGUCCCCUGGCAUUUUUAAUGUUUUCUGCAUAUUUAAUUUGCCAUAUUACUAGGAUGAAAAUUAGUGUUACCAAAUGUCUUGAACAUCUGACAAAGUAACAACAGCAAGUCAGGCAUUGGUGAUUUAUUGAUUUGUUUUAAAUGAAAAUAUGGAUAUUGUCACCUCCCUUCUCUGUUUGUCCUUGCAUUUCCUCCUCAUGGAAAUACCAUUUCCUCUUCUAUGCCUGCUGCAAGUGGCAUACAAUGGAGCCUCAUUACUCAAGAGAAACUCUACCUGCCAUGAAAAAUAAAUAAUUAAUAUCCAGCCAUUUCAGUAGGUAAAUAUUGCCUCAUUCCUAUGCAUCAAGCAGUCAGUGUUCCACAUCUGGCAGCAAUCUCCUCUGGGGGUUCAGCCCCUUGAAAGUCCUCUGGCACGAAACCUCAAUAUGCUAACAAUGUUGUUUGUCACUCCCCAGUACUGUCCUGGGACAAAUGGGAAGGGGUCAAUUGGGAUAUGAGUCCCUACCACCUGCUCUGGCUGAUGGGUUGGUGUGAAGGAUGGAGGAACUUUAUAGCCAAACUACACAUCCACUGCCCUCAUGGACUCUUCUGGAGCUAUAGCUUCUGUGUGCUCUGGGCAGACAUUCACUUUCUGCUCCAGCCAUGUUUUUUUCUUUAGUUCAACUGAGCUUGGUUUUAUGACAGCUGACUUGAUACAUGGCCUGGGAGUUUUACACAAAUACUCUGGAGGGAUGAAAUGUUGUUUAGCUUUCAUUGAAAGAGAGAACAAAAGCAGACCUCUCCACUCUGGAUCCUCCAGCUCCACAGUUCUGAGAUCAGUGCUGGCAGUGCUGCCCUGGCAAUUCCUAGCAACUGUGGGUAAGAAUAGAAUCUGGAGGGUCAGUGAAGACUAGGACUGUCUGGUCAGACCUGAUCAUCCUUGCUCUUCUGUCUAUAUUCAGCAGUUUAUCUAUAGCUUUAUGUAUUUUCUCCUUCUUUCUUCACCCCUGGUUUGACUAUUUUUCUCCUUGUAACUGUACUACUGAAAAACUAUAU